UAAGAAGGGGGCUAGCGUUGUUCGGAAUCACUGGGCGUAAAGCGCACGCAGGCGGAUCGAUAAGUAGGGGGUGAAAGCCCGGGGCUCAACCUCGGAAUGGCCUUCGAUACUGUCGGUCUCGAGUCCGGGAGAGGUGAGUGGAAGUCCUAGUGUAGAGGUGAAAUUCGUAGAUAUUAGGAAGAACACCAGUGGCGAAGGCUGCUCACUGGCCCGGUACUGACGCUCAGGUGCGAAAGCGUGGGGAGCAAACAGG
rnacentral:rRNA from 1 species